GCCUUUGUGGUGUAGUGGUCAGCACACUCGGCGCGAAUUCGAGAGAUCCGUGGUUCGAGUCCCGCGAGGGCA
rnacentral:tRNA from 1 species